rnacentral:lncRNA from 1 species
UGGACAAAUAUCCAAUUGUUCAAAAUAUUUGAAAAAAAUAAACAAAAGCUCUGUUAUUCGACUUUUGACGAUGCGAAUUUAAGCAUGGAUGCAAUUUGGGUACUCCUCAUUACAGAAUCUGGGAUGGUUUGGAGGUAAGUUCAGACCAAUUUUUCUAUGAUUCCUUAUGGAUUGAAAAUCAAAUUGGUGUACCUUUAUAAUAAAGAAGGAUACGGCUACAAAAUAAACACAAAAUGGAAAUUUUUGUCUUGAUCAUAAAAAAACUUAGUUGAAAAAACUGUCAAAAUAGGUGCAAUUUGGGUACCGUCACG